AAUUGACAACUAAUAGUGUUUGGCGAAAGGUGCUUUAUUAUAGUAAUGCAUAUAUAGUUAUACCAAGCAUGGUAUCAAUAAGCUACAAUGAACAAAAUGUGAAUAUGAAGCACCUGAACCCCAAUGUGGGUAAUAAUAAAAGUAAUUAGAAAAAAUUAACAAUACAAAGAAAAAGAAAAAAAAAAUGUUUUAUAUCAAUUACAUAAUAAAAGUGGCCUGGAACAUGCUCUUCCGCCCAAAACCACAUGGCAAUACAAACCCGGAUGAAGCAUCAAAGGGAAGCAAUUCUUACAAGGCGUCAUCAAUUAUGUACAAUGAGAGUUGCCUCCCAUUGUACGCAAUUGACAACUAAUAGUGUUUGGCGAAAGGUGCUUUAUUAUAGUAAUGCAUAUAUAGUUAUACCAAGCAUGGUAUCAAUAAGCUACAAUGAACAAAAUGUGAAUAUGAAGCACCUGAACCCAAAACGAAGUCGCCAAACACAGGGGUUAAUAAUAUAUACAUAAAAAAAAAAAAAAAAAAAAAACCAACAACACCAAAUCAAGAAUAUAAAAAUACACCGGCGAAAAUACCCUAACACUAACUACCAAUCAAAUAAUUCAUAGCUGACGUAACCCGAUACAUAUCAACACUAGCUUGUUUAAUGUAAGUCUGAAAACAAUCAGAUCUCCAGUCUCCGUGAUGUUUCAAUAAAAUCUCAGAAAUGCCAGCCUUGGUGGCUAAUGUAGCCCCUCCGUGUCUCAGCGAAUGAAAAGAAUAAACUGAAUUAAAGGGUCUAAACCAACAAGAACAAUUAACUCUCUAAAACGGUUCAACAAAACGGAUCUAGAUAAAGGCAAUAAUUUACCAUGAACAGGUAAAGCAAAAACGGGAGCAUUCUUAUCACCAGGUAUUAAAGACACAAGAUGCUUAUAAGCUCGAGCAGGACAUAUUGAUGGCUCAACUGAGCAACACAAGGAAACCUGAUGGGUGUAAUCAUGAUUUUGUCUGGUCUUUGACCAUUUCAAUAAAAGGAGGAUACCCUUUUCACUAACAACAACAUUAUCUCUGAUCAAUUGUUCACGGGAAUUAAAAGAUGUAGAGCUUCUGCUGACCAGGUUUGACGCCCUAAGCAUACCAAAAAAAGCAAACGUUAGAAAACACCAUAAACAAGCAUCUAAAUAAUCAUAAAUAUUCAACAACCUAACAAUAUCAAUUAAAUGUGCAGGUAACAAUGGUAAUUUUGACACAGCC
rnacentral:lncRNA from 1 species